CUGGCCGCCGGCCGCUCCUCCGCGCGCUGUUCCGCACUUGCUGCCCUCGCCCGGCCCGGAGCGCCGCUGCCAUGCGGCUGGCGCUGCUCUGGGCCCUGGGGCUCCUGGGCGCGGGCAGCCCUCUGCCUUCCUGGCCGCUCCCAAAUAUAGGUGGCACUGAGGAGCAGCAGGCAGAGUCAGAGAAGGCCCCGAGGGAGCCCUUGGAGCCCCAGGUCCUUCAGGACGAUCUCCCAAUUAGCCUCAAAAAGGUGCUUCAGACCAGUCUGCCUGAGCCCCUGAGGAUCAAGUUGGAGCUGGACGGUGACAGUCAUAUCCUGGAGCUGCUACAGAAUAGGGAGUUGGUCCCAGGCCGCCCAACCCUGGUGUGGUACCAGCCCGAUGGCACUCGGGUGGUCAGUGAGGGACACACUUUGGAGAACUGCUGCUACCAGGGAAGAGUGCGGGGAUAUGCAGGCUCCUGGGUGUCCAUCUGCACCUGCUCUGGGCUCAGAGGCUUGGUGGUCCUGACCCCAGAGAGAAGCUAUACCCUGGAGCAGGGGCCUGGGGACCUUCAGGGUCCUCCCAUUAUUUCGCGAAUCCAAGAUCUCCACCUGCCAGGCCACACCUGUGCCCUGAGCUGGCGGGAAUCUGUACACACUCAGAAGCCACCAGAGCACCCCCUGGGACAGCGCCACAUUCGCCGGAGGCGGGAUGUGGUAACAGAGACCAAGACUGUGGAGUUGGUGAUUGUGGCUGAUCACUCGGAGGCCCAGAAAUACCGGGACUUCCAGCACCUGCUAAACCGCACACUGGAAGUGGCCCUCUUGCUGGACACAUUCUUCCGGCCCCUGAAUGUACGAGUGGCACUAGUGGGCCUGGAGGCCUGGACCCAGCGUGACCUGGUGGAGAUCAGCCCAAACCCAGCUGUCACCCUCGAAAACUUCCUCCACUGGCGCAGGGCACAUUUGCUGCCUCGAUUGCCCCAUGACAGUGCCCAGCUGGUGACUGGUACUUCAUUCUCUGGGCCUACGGUGGGCAUGGCCAUUCAGAACUCCAUCUGUUCUCCUGACUUCUCAGGAGGUGUGAACAUGGACCACUCCACCAGCAUCCUGGGAGUCGCCUCCUCCAUAGCCCAUGAGUUGGGCCACAGCCUGGGCCUGGACCAUGAUUUGCCUGGGAAUAGCUGCCCCUGUCCAGGUCCAGCCCCAGCCAAGACCUGCAUCAUGGAGGCCUCCACAGACUUCCUACCAGGCCUGAACUUCAGCAACUGCAGCCGACGGGCCCUGGAGAAAGCCCUCCUGGAUGGAAUGGGCAGCUGCCUCUUCGAACGGCUGCCUAGCCUACCCCCUAUGGCUGCUUUCUGCGGAAAUAUGUUUGUGGAGCCGGGCGAGCAGUGUGACUGUGGCUUCCUGGAUGACUGCGUCGAUCCCUGCUGUGAUUCUUUGACCUGCCAGCUGAGGCCAGGUGCACAGUGUGCAUCUGACGGACCCUGUUGUCAAAAUUGCCAGCUGCGCCCGUCUGGCUGGCAGUGUCGUCCUACCAGAGGGGAUUGUGACUUGCCUGAAUUCUGCCCAGGAGACAGCUCCCAGUGUCCCCCUGAUGUCAGCCUAGGGGAUGGCGAGCCCUGCGCUGGCGGGCAAGCUGUGUGCAUGCACGGGCGUUGUGCCUCCUAUGCCCAGCAGUGCCAGUCACUUUGGGGACCUGGAGCCCAGCCCGCUGCGCCACUUUGCCUCCAGACAGCUAAUACUCGGGGAAAUGCUUUUGGGAGCUGUGGGCGCAACCCCAGUGGCAGUUAUGUGUCCUGCACCCCUAGAGAUGCCAUUUGUGGGCAGCUCCAGUGCCAGACAGGUAGGACCCAGCCUCUGCUGGGCUCCAUCCGGGAUCUACUCUGGGAGACAAUAGAUGUGAAUGGGACUGAGCUGAACUGCAGCUGGGUGCACCUGGACCUGGGCAGUGAUGUGGCCCAGCCCCUCCUGACUCUGCCUGGCACAGCCUGUGGCCCUGGCCUGGUGUGUAUAGACCAUCGAUGCCAGCGUGUGGAUCUCCUGGGGGCACAGGAAUGUCGAAGCAAAUGCCAUGGACAUGGGGUCUGUGACAGCAACAGGCACUGCUACUGUGAGGAGGGCUGGGCACCCCCUGACUGCACCACUCAGCUCAAAGCAACCAGCUCCCUGACCACAGGGCUGCUCCUCAGCCUCCUGGUCUUAUUGGUCCUGGUGAUGCUUGGUGCCAGCUACUGGUACCGUGCCCGCCUGCACCAGCGACUCUGCCAGCUCAAGGGACCCACCUGCCAGUACAGGGCAGCCCAAUCUGGUCCCUCUGAACGGCCAGGACCUCCGCAGAGGGCCCUGCUGGCACGAGGCACUAAGUCUCAGGGGCCAGCCAAGCCCCCACCCCCAAGGAAGCCACUGCCUGCCGACCCCCAGGGCCGGUGCCCAUCGGGUGACCUGCCCGGCCCAGGGGCUGGAAUCCCGCCCCUAGUGGUACCCUCCAGACCAGCGCCACCGCCUCCGACAGUGUCCUCGCUCUACCUCUGACCUCUCCGGAGGUUCCGCUGCCUCCAAGCCGGACUUAGGGCUUCAAGAGGCGGGCGUGCCCUCUGGAGUCCCCUACCAUGACUGAAGGCGCCAGAGACUGGCGGUGUCUUAAGACUCCGGGCACCGCCACGCGCUGUCAAGCAACACUCUGCGGACCUGCCGGCGUAGUUGCAGCGGGGGCUUGGGGAGGGGCUGGGGGUUGGACGGGAUUGAGGAAGGUCCGCACAGCCUGUCUCUGCUCAGUUGCAAUAAACGUGACAUCUUGGGAGCGUUCCCCAGAGUUUGUCUGCUUCUAGAACCCGGGUCGCUCCUGCUGCGGUUCCAGGUUUGGCCGCCAGAAGACGCUGCCGCCUCAGACGAGGGCGGGCUGUGUGGGGCGGGAGUACCAGAAAGGGUCGGCGUGUGUCCCCGGGAUGCUCGCAGCUUCCCUCUGCCCAGACUGGGGUGGCUUUCGGCGCAAUCUGUCAAGCUGUUGGACCUGCCGUCCCCACUCUGACCAUUGGCUGGGAAAAGUGGAUCUGGCUGAUGCUCCCAGAGCCCAGGAGCCAGGGCGGAGCGGGGCGGCGGCUGCUCCCACGAUCCCAAGGCCGCGCACCUGCCUCCUCCCCCUCCGCCGCCGCCACCUGAGGGAUCGGGAACAAAGGUGCUUUGUACAGGCCGCAACCACCUCAUUACUUCGUCUUAGGGACUGGGGCCGCGUGGGCCCCCAGCCCGGAACGAAGGUGUGGAGCGGCAAGGGACAGACGCCAAUCCUAAACGGGCCGGGACCUGCCAGGCCAGACCAAACCGGACCUCGGGGGCGAUGCGGCUGCUGCCCCUGCUGCGGACUGUCCUCUGGGCCGCGUUCCUCGGCUCCCCUCUGCGCGGGGGCUCCAGCCUCCGCCACGUAGUCUACUGGAACUCCAGUAACCCCAGUGUCAGCCCUGCCCUUCUAGCCGAAUCACCUCUGGGCAAGUCUCGUGACCUUCCUAACCUCAUUUAUCUCACCUGUAUAAUGGGCUAAUAAUACCUAGUACCCUGGGAAGUCUGGCAGGGUUGCUUCGAGGAGACGCCGUGGUGGAGCUGGGCCUCAACGAUUACCUAGACAUUGUCUGCCCCCACUACGAAGGCCCAGGGCCCCCUGAGGGCCCCGAGACGUUUGCUUUGUACAUGGUGGACUGGCCAGGCUAUGAGUCCUGCCAGGCAGAGGGCCCCCGGGCCUACAAGCGCUGGGUGUGCUCCCUGCCCUUUGGCCAUGUUCAAUUCUCAGAGAAGAUUCAGCGCUUCACACCCUUCUCCCUCGGCUUUGAGUUCUUACCUGGAGAGACUUACUACUACAUCUCGGUGCCCACUCCAGAGAGUUCUGGCCAGUGCUUGAGGCUCCAGGUGUCUGUCUGCUGCAAGGAGAGGAAGUCUGAGUCAGCCCAUCCUGUUGGGAGCCCUGGAGAGAGUGGCACAUCAGGGUGGCGAGGGGGGGACACUCCCAGCCCCCUCUGUCUCUUGCUAUUACUGCUGCUUCUGAUUCUUCGUCUUCUGCGAAUUCUGUGAGCCAAGCAGACCUUCCCUCUCAUCCCAAGGAGCCAGAGUCCUCCCAAGAUCCCCUGGAGGAGGAGGGAUCCCUGCUGCCUGCACUGGGGGUGCCAAUUCAGACCGACAAGAUGGAGCAUUGAUGGGGGAGAUCAGAGGGUCUGAGGUGACUCUUGCAGGAGCCUGUCCCCUCAUCACAGGCUAAAGAAGAGCAGUAGACAGCCCUGGACACUCUGAAGCAGAGGCAAGACAAACACAGGCGCUUUGCAGGCUGCUCUGAGGGUCUCAGCCCAUCCCCCAGGAGGACUGGGAUUUGGUAUGAUCAAAUCCUCAAGCCAGCUGGGGGCCCAGGCUGAAGACCUGGGGACAGGUCGAUUGCUGGACCAGGGCAAAGAAGAAGCCCUGCCAUCUGUGCCCUGUGGGCCUUUUCCCUGGGGCAGCACCUUGCCCUCCCCAGGGGAUCACUCACUUGUCUUCUAUGAAGACGGACUCUUCAUGAGGUUGAAUUUCAUGCCAGUUUGUAUUUUUAUAAGUAUCUAGACCAAACCUUCAAUAAACCACUCAUCUUUUUGUUGCCCUCCCCAA